AUUGAACGCUGGCGGCAUGCCUUACACAUGCAAGUCGAACGGCAGCGCGGGAGCAAUCCUGGCGGCGAGUGGCGAACGGGUGAGUAAUAUAUCGGAACGUGCCCAGUAGUGGGGGAUAGCCCGGCGAAAGCCGGAUUAAUACCGCAUGAGACCUGAGGGUGAAAGCGGGGGAUCGCAAGACCUCGCGCUAUUGGAGCGGCCGAUAUCAGAUUAGCUAGUUGGUGGGGUAAAGGCCUACCAAGGCAACGAUCUGUAGUUGGUCUGAGAGGACGACCAGCCACACUGGGACUGAGACACGGCCCAGACUCCUACGGGAGGCAGCAGUGGGGAAUUUUGCGCAAUGGACGAAAGUCUGACGCAGCAACGCCGCGUGGGUGAUGAAGGUCUUCGGAUUGUAAAACCCUGUCGCCAGGGACGAAGGGUGGGGCGUGAAUAGCGUUCUACUUUGACGGUACCUGGAAAGGAAGCCCCGGCUAACUCUGUGCCAGCAGCCGAC
rnacentral:rRNA from 1 species